rnacentral:rRNA from 1 species
CGUGUAGGCGGCUUGGUAAGUCGGGCGUGAAAGCCCUGGGCCCAACCCAGGAAGUGCGUCCGAAACUGCCUGGCUAGAGUACGGGAGAGGGUAGUGGAAUUCCCGGUGUAGAGGUGAAAUUCGUAGAUAUCGGGAGGAACACCAGUGGCGAAGGCGGCUACCUGGACCGAUACUGACGCUGAGACGCGAAAGCGUGGGGAGCAAACAGGAUUAGAUACCCUGGUAGUCC